CCAGUGAUGAAUAUCUUUAGUCAUUGUUCUAUUUUGUACACCAUGUGCUGGAAUAGUGUUUACAGUGUCUCCCAUAACUACAUUUAACUUCCCUGUGAUGUUUUAUGAGCAGCAGAUAGGGUGGCUUUAUGUGUAUUAAAAGAAACAUAUGUAACCCUCUCUCAAGCCUCUCCUAGAUCUAGCAAUUAGCUAACAUUGUGAACAUUUAAUAGCACUUUAUAUAUGUAAGUAAAAAAGAUGACUUCAAAAUCUUGCUUGGUUUGUAGAUGAAGGAACUUUCUUUGGGUCUGUUUCCACCUGUAAGCGUUCCUCAUCCUUCUUCUGUACUGGCAGGUACUUUUACUAUUCUAACUUACUGUAUCUGUUUAUAUAGAAAUUCCUGCUGGGACUUUCCUAUAGCUGGGCUGAGUUUAAGUUAUUUAAUCACACUGUAAUCGCAUAUACAUAUACAUGUAUAUAAUUGAUGGAUAUGUAACAACUUUCUUGUGCUGCCAGUGGAUUUGGUUGUCAUUAUCUUCACCUCCACAAGGGGGUGUGCCAGAGUGAUGAUUAUCUGGAAGGCUGUAGAAUUUAUAAGCCUUUAGCCAAUGGUAGUGAAUGCUGGAAAGAAGAGAAUGAGACAGGAAGUGGACCAGAGGUGUGGACUGGAGAGAUUUUUCACUCAGACAGCCGUUGUUUUCUCUCAAACAUUAUCAGAGAGGAUAAUUUCUCCUUCAACGCCUCUUUAUCAGGCCGUUGUUACAGGCACAGGUGCACUGAAAGGAACAGGUACUAGAUUCAGGUGAUGGGUUCUGAUUGGCUGGACUGUCCACCUGGGAAGAGCAUCCAGGUGUUUGGAUAUCGGGGUGAAGUUUUCUGCCCUGACAAACGAUUAUGUCAUUACUAUGAUAUAGUUCCUCCCACUUUACUACACAAGCCCUUGCCCUCACUUCUGCUAGUCACUGCAGCCCCAACCAGGGAUCAGUCUCUCACUGGCCUGAGGUUUGACACCGCUUUUCCCUUUUCAGAGAUGAGAGUAAAGACAGUGGUGGGUGUCAGUGCUGUGCUCUUUUUCAUGGGCUUGCUCAAGACAGUCUAUAGGAAAUGUGGCCCAUCCAGGCUCCGAGUGCAUGCCCUCGUACAUUCACCACUGCAGGUG